GACGAACGCUGGCGGCGUGCUUAACACAUGCAAGUUGAACGGGUCAUAUGUGAAGGGUAACCGGAGUAUAUGGCUAGUGGCGAACGGGUGAGUAAUGCAUGAGAACGUAUCCUCAAGAGGGGGACAACAUUGGGAAACCGAUGCUAAUACCCCAUAAGCCGGGAGGUAAAAGGAGCAAUCCGCUUGAGGAGCGGCUCAUGUCCUAUCAGCUGGUUGGUGAGGUAACGGCUCACCAAGGCGAAGACGGGUAGCCGGCCUGAGAGGGUGAACGGCCACACUGGAACUGAGAGACGGUCCAGACUCCUACGGGAGGCAGCAGUGGGAAUAUUGGGCAAGUGGGGAAACCCUGACCCAGCGACGCCGCGUGA
rnacentral:rRNA from 1 species